GUUAUAGGGUCAAGCGAACAAGUGCAUGUGGUGGAUGCCUUGGCGAUCACAGGCGAUGAAGGACGCGGUAGCCUGCGAAAAGCUACGGGGAGCUGGCAAACAAGCUUUGAUCCGUAGAUGUCCGAAUGGGGAAACCCACUCCGUAUGGAGUAUCCAUGGCUGAAUACAUAGGCCAUGCGAAGCGAACGCGGUGAACUGAAACAUCUAAGUAACCGCAGGAAAAGAAAUCAACCGAGAUUCCCAAAGUAGUGGCGAGCGAAAUGGGAUGAGCCUUGUACUCUUUAUUUGUAUUGUUAGCCGAACGCUCUGGAAAGUGCGGCCAUAGCAGGUGAUAGCCCUGUAGGCGAAAACAGUAUGAAAGAACUAGGUGUACGACAAGUAGGGCGGGACACGUGAAAUCCUGUCUGAAGAUGGGGGGACCAUCCUCCAAGGCUAAAUACUCGUGAUCGACCGAUAGUGAACCAGUACCGUGAGGGAAAGGCGAAAAGAACCCCGGGAGGGGAGUGAAAUAGAUCCUGAAACCGCAUGCAUACAAACAGUCGGAGCCUCGUAAGGGGUGACGGCGUACCUUUUGUAUAAUGGGUCAGCGACUUACGUUCAGUAGCAAGCUUAACCGUAUAGGGCAGGCGUAGCGAAAGCGAGUCCGAAUAGGGCGUUCAGUUGCUGGGCGUAGACCCGAAACCAGGUGAUCUAUCCAUGGCCAGGAUGAAGGUGCGGUAACACGUACUGGAGGUCCGAACCCACUAACGUUGAAAAGUUAGGGGAUGAGCUGUGGAUAGGGGUGAAAGGCUAAACAAACCUGGAAAUAGCUGGUUCUCUCCGAAAACUAUUUAGGUAGUGCCUCGUGUCUCACCUUCGGGGGUAGAGCACUGUCAUGGUUGGGGGGUCUAUUGCAGAUUACCCCGCCAUAGCAAACUCCGAAUACCGAAGAGUGCAAUCACGGGAGACAGACAUCGGGUGCUAACGUCCGGUGUCAAGAGGGAAACAACCCAGACCGCCAGCUAAGGUCCCCAAAUAUGGCUAAGUGGGAAACGAAGUGGGAAGGCUAAAACAGUCAGGAGGUUGGCUUAGAAGCAGCCACCCUUUAAAGAAAGCGUAAUAGCUCACUGAUCGAGUCGUCCUGCGCGGAAGAUGUAACGGGGCUAAGCCAUAUACCGAAGCUGCGGAUGCGUGC
rnacentral:rRNA from 1 species